AAUGCAGAAGUAGUUGUCGCAAAACGGUUUCAACUGACGUAACGCAAUAUAUAAAUAAUUUUGCGGCACGUCUAAGCUUUCUCUUCUCGUUGCCGACUGUCUUGUGUCCACGUUGGGCGAGCACAAGAGAAUAUGACCUUAUUGCUGAAUGUGAUGGAAGAACUAUCCUGCAGGCUGCACUGCCCCUUUAUUACAUGAGGUGCUGGAGAACACCUAAGGCCAGCUGGGUUUCCUCCCUGUGUUGGCCGUCAGUGUUGAUGCUACACCUUGAUGUCACAGCGAUGACAGACACAAGACUCAUAAACUCAUGAACCAGCGGUUUCAAAGCAAAGGAUAGCCUGCUUAUCGUAGGGUCAAGAAGGGCUGGAACAGCAAAGAAUCCUGAAACCGUCCUGGAGACAUUAAAGAGUGUCCGCUGCCUUUCACUAUGCUUUACAGAGAACCAGAGCCUGAACCCCCGAGCAAGCAGACAGUGGCAAGGAAAAACUCCCUUUUAACAGGAAGAAACCUUGAGCAGGACCCGAAGUGGCAGAUCGAUGGAGUAACGAGGGAGCACAACAACCUUGGAGCACAGCUGUCAACACUUUGCAGUCACUCAUUUUGGAAUUGAAUCUGUAUUGGAAAAGACAGAACUUGAUAAAAGUAAUUGUGUGUGUGUGUGUGUGUGUGUGUGUGUGUGUGCUGUCAGAUUGUACCUUGUUCUUUUUCAACAGUACUCUGACAAAUAAACUAUUUGUAACUCCAA